CACGUAGGGGGCAAGCGUUGUCCGGAUUUAUUGGGCGUAAAGAGCUCGUAGGCGGUUCAGUAAGUCGGGUGUGAAACCUCCAGGCUCAACCUGGAGACGCCACCCGAUACUGCUGUGACUGGAGUCCGGUAGGGGAGCGUGGAAUUCCUGGUGUAGCGGUGAAAUGCGCAGAUAUCAGGAGGAACACCAGCGGCGAAGGCGGCGCUCUGGGCCGGAACUGACGCUGAGGAGCGAAAGCGUGGGUAGCAAACAGG
rnacentral:rRNA from 1 species